rnacentral:lncRNA from 1 species
GGGAUAACCCAGGCUGUCUUCCUGUAGAAGUUUUCCUUGCAGUAUCUAAUUUUCUGGUGGUAGGAGCUGAGUGAGUGAGUGAUUUGGCUAGAUUCCGUGGUCCAGAUCUGAAAGUUUGCAUGGUCUGGUCCUGCAAAGAACCUCGUCUUCCUCAGGAGACAAUGUGGGCCACUGUGAUUCACAAAGAAGACAGUGGAGGUGGCUGUUGAAGUGAGGGAAUGGACGUGAUCCCCACACUGCCCUGUCAGGGGACACCCUGUGUCUGCUGUGCUACCCAGGGUCAUUGGGCAGCAAACCAAGCUGAGGUCCACCCCUGCUUAACUGUUGUCACUUAAGGGUCUGAGGUCCACCUACUGCAUAACUGUCACUCAAGCGUCUGAGUCCACCCACUGAGCAACUGUCACUCAAGCGUUUGAGGUCCACCCACUGAGCAACUGUCACUCAAGCAUCUGAAGCCCAUCCCUCUGCAUCACUGUCACUCAAGCUUCUGAGGUCCACCCACUGAGUAACUGUCAAUCAAGUGUCUGAAGCCCACCCCUCUGCAUCACUGUCACUCAAGGGUCUUCCUCCAGAUAUAGCGUGGACCACUCCUUUCGCUGCCUCACUUUUAUUAGUCCCUUCCUCUUCUCCACAAUGAGAUGGGCCUUUGUCUGUUUUUUUCUUCUUCAG